AAUAAACUUACUUUUGCUUUGCACUGUGGACUUGCCCUGAAUUCUUUCUUGUGGGAGAUCGAAGAACUCUCUCUUGGUGUCCGGAUCGGGACUCCUUUCCGGUAACAUCACUAUGUUGCCCAGGCUGGUCUUGAACUCCUGGCCUCAAACCAUCCUAUAGAUUCGACCUCCGAAAGUGCUGGGGUUACAGGCAUAGCCACUGUGCCCAGCUGGAACAAUCUUUAUGAAGGUGAAUUAAAGCUGUGAGGCAUGAGACCAGAAAAGAUGCACCAGGAGUAAUGGAUUUUGGUGGAGAAUGAGCCACAGAAACGCGAUCAUGAGGCAAAUGGUGGGGCCUAACCCUGCCUUCUCAGUCCUCGGGAUGGGAGACCGGGCUAGAGAAGAGAAGGCUGGUGUGAAAACGCCGGGAGGCCCUCAUCGAGCCUCAUUCUCAGCCACAUCGUAAGGAUUUAGAGGCCCUAAGCACUGACGACGCUGUGGUGCCACAAAAAUAGACAAGCAGGGCAUGUGCGCUGAAGCUGGAAGAGGCUUCUUCCAUAUUUUCAUUGCAAAAUCAGAACUUUGGUAUAACCCUGCAUUUUACCGAGAUGUCAAAGCAGGAAGUGCUUGGCUGGAACAUCUGCCGACAGCCUCAUCUCUUUCUGCAAGAUCAUGAUGUUCUGCAUGCUCCUGUGGCCUCUUAUUUCACGUUGCUCUCCCUGCAAAUUUUGAAACAACUUUAAAGAUGAAUAAAAAGCAGCUCAGCAAGUGAAUCCCAGAUCCCGGUAAGAGAGUGUCUCCCCCAACUCACAUAGUGAGUGCACAUCAUCCCCAGAACCACCAUGAGAGUGAGCCUGGUAGCGGGUAGCACCCUGCCUGUGACGAAGCCAGCACACUAUGACGAGCAGCAGCUUCUAGACCCAUGGACCACGGGCACUGCCAACGCUCUCCCUCCGGGGACUCCUCCUGCCUCCCAUACAGGGCCAAACUCCGACGCCCACGAGCUCGCUCAGAAUUGGCUCAGGCUGCAAUCACUUCUCUUCUCCUACCUCCACACCAUUCCCUGAUGGUGGACAGCUUCUCCUUUGAGAACCACACCUGCCUUUUCAGACAAAAGGAGACACCACCCACCCUCCUGCUGAGGGCUGCUCCCCUGGGGCCUUCUCAGCACACCUCUCUCUCUCUAGGUCAAAAAACAAAUUUCACAUGCUGAAUUUUUACCUUUUUUAAAGUGACUCCGAAUUUUGGCACCAGCAAUUAAUUCAACACUUGAAUAAGAUUUGAAAACCUCACAACAAAUCACAAAUAUAUUAUGGGUCCUGUU
rnacentral:lncRNA from 10 species